GUCCAUGGCAAAGGUGGGACACCCACGGGAAUAAUGAGACAGGCUGAGGAAGCCCUCAAGUCACCCCUGAUGGAGGCCAGACCCUGAAUGUUACAAUCCCUCUGCUUAUUAACCCUUAAUAAAAAUCUGAGCAGGUGUCUGCAGGACACACGCCACUUUCUGGAAAAAGCAUGGAAAAAAAUUCCAGAAGUGCUCCACCAAGAAACUGCAAGAUGGAAGCAGAGAGUACAGGGAAGGAAGGAGGAGACAGAAAGGCUGGAACUUUUGAAUGCACAAACAAAGCAGGCCAUGAAAGAUACCAUGAGCCAAUUAAAAUCUAUGGCUGAAAAUCUGCCAGACACCAUGCAGUUGGAAGAUUUCCCUAGAGACCACAGUGAGGCGGGGAACUUGGAAGCAGAGCUAAGGAGGAAAGCAGAAAAAGAACCACCCCCCAACACACCCUUAAAAAUUAAGUACAUUCUGUAUGUACAGAAAAGAUAGCUAAAUUGUAUGCACACAGGAGGAGCAUUGCCCCCACAAGAAACAGUUCAUCCUAAAUGGUUCAGGUGAAAAGACUUUGGCGAAGGAAGUUUCCUGAGCCGUGAGCAGGGACGAGGGCUCAGACACGUGAUGGGAAGCCUCCCAGAUGCCAUGGUUUCCCAUCCCCAGGUUUCAAGGGUUGGGAAGACGAAGCGAUAUCAUCUGAGCCCAAUAAGGCCCUGUCAAGGGACCAGGUAAAAUUGCCCCCACUUGCUCCCAUCGUCUCAUUGACUACAGGUGCAUGAUCAGCUGCCUGCAAGAGGGCCUGGGCAGUGCAGGCCAGAGGAGGUGCCCUCUAGGGCACAGAGCAGGCAGAAAACAAACUUGGAGAAUGAUCAGCACCCCUGGGUUUAUUUGAAUGAAAGUGUAUGUUUUAUUGCAUUCAUUCACAUCCAUUUAUUUAAUAAACAUCCAUGGAG